rnacentral:rRNA from 1 species
CGUGUAGGCGGUUCGGUAAGUGAGAUGUGAAAGCCCCCGGCUCACCCGGGAUGUGCAUUUCAUACUGCCGGACUUGAGUGCGGAAGAGGAUGGGGAAUUCCUGGUGUAGCGGUGAAAUGCGUAGAUAUCAGGAGGAACACCGGUGGCGAAGGCGCCCAUCUGGUCCGUUACUGACGCUGAUGCGCGAAAGCUAGGGGAGCGAACG